AGCCGAUUCUACCACCACCGCCGCGUCCAGCCGCUGUCGCUUACUCCGUCACCGCUCCUGGAGGCGGGUGGCCGAGCUUCUACCGCCGUUGAGAUCCACCGCCAUCAGCGCUGCCGUCAAAGGGAGCGCGCUGUCACAGUUCAAUCACAAUCGAGCUUGAAGGAAAGCGCCACUGAAGUUGCCCGACAGCAGUUUCCCCUACGUUCCCAAUCCCAUUCUUGAAACUUACUGCUGUCGCCGUCGUCAAUCUGGAUCUUAGCUCGUUGCUGCUGAUGAUGGUAAGCCAAACUAUCAUCCUUGAUGCUGGAGAAGGACACUGGAGUUACUAUUCUGGUUUUAAUUCAAUUCGUCCCUGUCCCGGAUCACCGUUGUCUUCUGUUCUGCUUCUGCUUCUAGUUGCGCCGGGUUAAACCAUUGUAACUAUAGAGCCAUGUUUGAUGGUGUUGUUGGUGAGAGUUUUCAGUGUAGCUAAUGCCACUGCCGUUGUUUCAUUCUCUUAGUACAGGUCAAGUUCUGCUGUGAAUAGUGCUUUUUGGGCUAUACGGCUGUGGGAAAUAGUCGGAGUAAAUGUCAUUCGAUUUCGGAAUGAGGAAAAAAAGGAAUUCUCCGACACGUUUGGUUUGUGGUUUCGCGAGCUGCUGAACACAGUAAAGAUUUUUAUCAACCAAGUAUUUCUGGAUCUGCAAUUGAAAAGGGUGGUCCUAGGGAGCCAUGGCAUGAUAUACAUUGUAAGCUUGAAGGGCCUAUUGCAUGGGAUGUUUACUCCACC